GGGUGCUGCAUGCCGUUGUGUGGUUUGUGUACUGCAUAGUUGUACUCAGCCAAGGAAGUGGAUGAGGCCACAGCUUUAACAUGGGCUGCUGUCUGCCCAGAAGGAUAAUCUUUUCCUUAUUUUAUAUCUCAUUUCAGGGGUUCUCCAACUUCUGAAAUCCAUCCAGAAACUCCCUGUAUUUGGGUAACAGUAUUAUAACUUUUUGCACCAGGGCUUUUUUGUUUGUUUGUUAAUAUUAAUUGAUUUUUCUUAUGUUCUUUAUGAAAGAAUAACUCAUCCAUUAAUGAAACCAAAUGUGAACUUAGUGCCUUCUGUGUAGAAAAGGCUAGGAAUACAUAUUGUGGGAGAUUCAUUACAUCACUGGCCUUAAUACUACACCUUCUCAUGUUCCCCCUUGGCUGUGUAACUUUCUAGUGUCCAUAUGCUCUCUCUUGGGGUGGCCAGUGUGACUUGCUUUGGCCAAUGGGAUAUUAGCAACCAUGACAUAACCCGAGGCUUAUAAAGUUGCCUGCUCAUUGGGACUUGUUUCACUGUUGCAUCCCAGUUAUUCACAUCACUCCAGCUGACAGCCAACCAACAAACAGCCAGACACGUGAGCCCAACCAAGAUCAGAAGAACUGUCCCACUGAGCAUAGUCUAAAUUGCUAACAUGCAAAUGCAUGGUAAGCGCUACUUGUUUAUGGCAUUGAGGUUUUCUUGGUUAUUUGUUACACAGCUUUAUUGUGGCAGUAGAUAACUGAUACUGAUACACGUGGUGAACAUGACAGAUAAGCUCUCUGUUCUCCCAGGCUUACAUUUUAAUGGGGAAACAAGAUAAUAAAUGAACAAAUAAAGGAACAAAUGAACUAGAAAAAAUAGCUGGGGUAAGUGAUAUCACAGAAUUACAUCAAAACAGGAGAGGGGUGGUAGAAUUAGUUAGGGCCUACACAAUGGCUUUACUUUUGAUGCUGAAGGAUGAUCUUAAUUAGUUUAAGAUCUGAAUGAGAAGAGUCAGCCAGGCAAAGACCAGUGAAAGUAACAAUCUAGACAAAAGGACUAGCUAGUGCCAAGGUCCUAAAAAGGGAAUGAACUUGGAGAAUUCUAGAAACAGAGAAAGCCACUAGGCUUGUGGUGUAGGGAGUGAGGCAAAGAGGAGCAGCACAAGAUCAGAUCAGAAAGGAAGACAGGAUAAGAUCAGAGAAGAAGACAGGCCAGAUUACACAAGGUUUGUAAGCCAAACAAGGAGAUUAGAGUACCCACCAGAGAUGGCCUUUAUGUACACACCAUAGAUGGCCUUUGCAUUCCCACCAGAGAUGGAGUUUGAUGUCUUUUGUCUCAGGCCUGGGUCAGAGCACAAAGCAGCAAUAACAGAGAAGCAAAAGAGACAUUGUUGGAAGAAAACAAUCCCAUUCCUGGCUUCUGUAAAUGGAAUAGGAGGGGACACAGAGGCAGAUUCCUGGGGAUGGAAGAAUGGGAAGGAGGGGAAGAGGGAGGAGAUUCCCCUAGACUGGGCAGCAAAGGGAGGUCAGAAGGUCUGCCCCUCCAGAAGAGGCCAAGGCAGAGCCUUCAGGAGGGACAGGAACUCCUGGGGCACCUGCAAGGACACCUAGGAUACCUUCUCUAGGCACUGCAGCCCUGGCCUUGGCAGGUGUACUUUGUCUAGAAAUUGCAGGGAGCCUCCAUGGUCUCAGUUUCCAAGCACCAUGGAAACUUCCCAAGAUGCCAUUCAUUGUGACUCUGGCUCAGACAAUGGGCAUAUUAGGGAAGCCAAUGUGCACCAUCUUAUUUGAUUGAUAUUAUCCACAGUAACCUCAGCAAUGGCUGGUGUUUCGUGAUUCAGCCUGUGUGGAAUAAGGAAGGGAGAGGCCUUGCCAAAUAUUUCUGUGCCCGAGACCUCCCCUCCUCUGUAGCCAGAGUUGCCAUGACCUUGUAGCUGAGGCUGGGGCUCAGAGCCCCAAUUCUGACUCAAAAGAGUGUCCAGGAACCCAAUGCCAUGAGGCUCAAGGUCAAGUAAUUUGAUUUUUAAGAAAAUUAAGAAAUGUGCCCUCUUCAUCUCAAAAACACUAUGUUGAGUGAAAGAAAUCAGACACUUAAAUGAUAUUCAAGAACAGGAAAAACUCACCUAUGAUGAUAAAAAUCAGAACAAUGGUUUCCUCUGAGGGUUGAGGCAGGGGCCGAGUGACUGGUAGGGGCAUGAGGAAACUUCGGGGGUGAUAGAAAUGUCAUUCUCUUGAGCCACAUGAAGCUUUCAGGUCUUGAGCUAAAUGUCACCACCAAACUGUACACUUAAGAUUUGUCCAUUUCACCGUAUGUAAAUUUUGCUGCUAUAAAGUAUUGACUUGAGUCUCCUGUGGCAAGGAAGGAAGGAAGGAAGGAUGGAAGGAAGGAAGGAAAGAAGGAUGGAAGGAAGGGAGAAACAGAGGAAUGAAGGCAGGAAAGGAGAAGGAAAUAAAGGUGCACGUGUUGCAGAUCCCAGGCUGUCACCCAUUGCACACUUUCCACCUGUUUUUUCCACAAAAUAAGCACCUAGUUUGUGAGAGGUUGUGCCAAGCAUCUAGUCUGUGCCAAGUGGCCAGAGAGAAAAAAUAUGUAAACAAAGGGUAAGCAUACAAAGCUCAGACCUGGGCAGUAUUAGUUCUAUCCAAGGGUGAAGGAGACAAGCUCUCAGAAAGAUUUAAAGGGGAGAGAAAGGGUCAUGAGGGCUGGAGGGAUGGGGAUUCUCUGAGAUCUGAAUUCACCUUGCACUUCUUUUUCUUUUUGAGAAACAGACCACAGCAAGGUAAUCUUACAGCCCAGGACUCAGCUGCUGCAAUCUCUGUGAAAGAUUUCUGCAGAUGCUGUGCUCAGGUCACUGAGUUUCCCAGUUGUCAGUGGUGAACUGGAGCGGAGGCAGAAGGAAACUCUUCAGACACACUGUUCCCUUCAGGAAACAAGGGACAAAAGGGCUGCCCUGAGGAGACUUGGGAAAGUGACAUUUCCUCAGGCUCGAGGACAUCCCGAGGUUCUGCUCAUGAAACAGAGACAACCAUGUGUGGUGCCUGCAUUCUUGGCCUGCGGGGAGUGGAAAGGAGACAAAGAGUAAAACACGGUGGGAAAGAAGAAAAAGAGGUUAAGAAAAGCAAAUGUGCCUACUCCAGGUCGCUCAAGAUGACCACAGGAAGGUUGUCAUCUUCAUGUCUAAAAGCCAGUUGACACUCAAGGGUGUCAUUUCACUUCAGUGAAAUGAGAAGCUUCACAGAUGUGUAGACUCUGAAAAAUCUAACUGGAAAACAAUACAGGGAAAUAGCAAUACUAGGCAUCAAAGCAGCAAAAAAACUACUCAAUUAUCUGAUAUGGGGAUUAUCAAUGGAAUAAAUGUGGGGUUUGUUGUUUGUUGUUGGGAUUGUUGUGGGUUUUGUUUCAUUUUUUAGGGUCUCACUUUUCUCCACCAAUUAGAUCUGUGCUGUGAGCCACACAGGUUUUGAGUACAUGUUUUGGGACUUUAUAUCGGUCAGACUUUGCCAUGGUAACACUGUGUAACGAGCAGCCCCAAAAAUCUCAGUGGUGGUCAAAAGCAAACCUUUAUUUCUCAUUCAUGGGUUUUCAGUUUGUUCAGGCUAAAAGUAAAAUACACAGAUUCUUCACCUGUCUUUCAUUCCAUGCUGAAGGAGCAAUUGACUGCCUGGGACAUACUUUUCUCAUAACAGAGGCAAGGGUGAAAAACACCAAGUCAUCUUGAUUAUGCAAUCCCAUUUUUAAUGUAAACAAUGUCAUGUCUGCUUCUAUUUCAUUGAGCAAAGCAAGUCAUAUAGGCAAGCCCAACAUCAGUGGGGUGAUAAAGCACACUCUCCAAUGGAAGGAGGAGGGGAGCAUGAUCAUUUGCUGAACAGUAAUGCAAGAUAGCACAAGACUUGUCUGGGGUGAGAGAGAGAUCAAAGCUGUGGAUCCCACCCAGUCUUCAACCAAAGCAAUGUGGCUUUGACCUGUUUUCUGUCUUGGACUUGAAUAAUACUUUAUUUGAAAGAAGUGUUAAAUUGUUUAUUAAAAAAAAAGACAAGUUUGAAAA